CCUACGUGGGCAGCAGUGGGGAAUAUUGCACAAUGGGCGCAAGCCUGAUGCAGCGACGCCGCGUGCGGGAUGGAGGCCUCCGGGUUGUGAACUGCUUUUAGUUGGGAAUAAAAGGGGGCUCGUGAGCCCCGUAUUGUAUGUACCAUCAGAAAAAGGACCGGCUAAUUCCGUGCCAGCAGCCGCGGUAAUACGGAGGGUCCGGGCGUUAUCCGGAUUUAUUGGGUUUAAAGGGAGCGUAGGCCGGAUUUUAAGUCAGCUGUGAAAGUCCGCGGCUCAACCGUGGAAUUGCAGUUGAAACUGGAGGCAUGGAGGGCACACAGGGAUGCCGGAAUUCAUGGUGUAGCGGUGAAAUGCUUAGAUAUCAUGAAGAACUCCGAUCGCGAAGGCAAGUGUCCGGGGUGCAACUGACGCUGAGGCUCGAAAGUGCGGGUAUCAAACAGGAUUAGAUACCCGUGUAGUC
rnacentral:rRNA from 1 species